GUCUCCCUCCUGAUUCCCUGACCAAUCUAAUGGUUACACCAGCAUAAAUACGGCCGUGGGACUUAUCAAGCCACUAAAAAAACAAACAAACAAAAAAAACCUGGAGAAUAUCAGCUGCAGACAAAAUGUAUUCAGAAGGAGGAAAUAUUUUUGGCUGCCCUGAAACCCCCUUCGUGAUUCUUUGACAUACAUACAAAGGUUUUGUGUGUGUGUUUUUCUGUAGAACUGAAGAUCAUCUGUUCUUCCACCAUUACUGGGAUUUGUUUUUGUGGUCAGGUGUCUUUCAUGGAAUCAAAAAUACGACUGAACACAAAACUCCUUCCACUUUUCCUCAUCUGAUUCAAGUGUAUUUCUAGCUGAGAAAUACCGUUUGGCAAUGAAAUGCUUCCAAGAUGUAGAGGAGGGGAGAAAAUGGAAUCCUGUCCUAGAGAGACGGUGGAAAACUAAUCAAGGGCUGCAGAAAGAGGAAAGGAAGGAAGAAUGUCUGAAUGCUAUCAAAACUGAGCAAAAGAUCUUGCAAGGUGGAACAUGAACAUUUUGGAGGCCAGGAAGAGACACCAGGGAUUGACUGGUUGGGAGCAGGGACAACAGGGAAAGGGAAAUAGACAUUUAAAGUGUGACUUGAUUCCAUGGGGCCACCUGAGCUUUGUUGCCACUCAAGGUAGGAAGCGAGAAGAAAUGGACCAGGCAAUAGUAGCAGGUGAGACGUCUAGCAAUGGCACCAUCACCUGAUACUACCCGAAAAUUUGUCAGGUUACCUCUCUUAUAGAGGCCUCGGGAUCAAACCUUCCUGUGUUAGUGGAGGAGGAGA
rnacentral:lncRNA from 1 species